GUAUUUACCAGGCAGGGAAGAUGCCAUGAUCAGGGCGGUGUUCCCACAGCAAGGCUUAUUUACUGCACUCUGACUGACUGUGGAGACCCUUGUGGUGUCUCCUAAUGUGGGGAAUCUGACGUAUAUUCUGUGGUAGUGUGAGUGUGUGUGUGUGUGUGUGUGUG